ACAAUAUUUUGCUGCCCAUAUUGUUCUUGGUUGUUAACAAUAUUGUCCAGCAUUGUUCGGCUGAACAAUAUUGUUAACUACCAGGAACAAUAUGGGCAGCAAUAUAUUGUUC